rnacentral:rRNA from 1 species
UACGGAGGAUGCAAGCGUUAUCCGGAAUGAUUGGGCGUAAAGGGUCCGCAGGUGGCAAUGUGUGUCUGCUGUCAAAGAAUGAGGCUUAACCUCAUCAAGGCAGUGGAAACUACAUAGCUAGAGUACGGUCGGGGUAGAAGGAAUUCCUGGUGUAGCGGUGAAAUGCGUAGAGAUCAGGAAGAACACCGGUGGCGAAAGCGUUCUGCUAGACCUGUAAUGACACUGAGGGACGAAAGCUAGGGGAGCGAAUGGG